GACGAACGCUGGCGGCGUGCUUAACACAUGCAAGUCGAACGGUGAAGCGCCUUCCUUUUUGGUGGGUGUGGAUGAGUGGCGAACGGGUGAGUAACACGUGAGUAACCUGCCCCCUUCUUCUGGAUAACCGCAUGAAAGUGUGGCUAAUACGGGAUAUUCUGGGUCUGUCGCAUGAUGGGUCUGGGAAAGAUAUUGUUUCGGUGGGGGAUGGGCUCGCGGCCUAUCAGCUUGUUGGUGGGGUGAUGGCCUACCAAGGCGGUGACGGGUAGCCGGCCUGAGAGGGUGGACGGUCACACUGGGGCUGAGACACGGCCCAGACUCCUACGGGAGGCAGCAGGGGGGAAUAUUGCACAAUGGGCGCAAGCCUGAUGCAGCGACGCCGCGUGAGGGAUGGAGGCCUUCGGGUUGUGAACCUCUUUCGCCAGUGAAGCAGGCCUGCCUCGUUUGUGGGUGGGUUGACGGUAGCUGGAGAAGAAGCGCCGGCUAACUACGUG
rnacentral:rRNA from 1 species